AAGUGUAACCGUGAUUCCUACGACUGUGAGUUAGGUUUAUUGCUUUUAUAGGUUAGUUUUAUUUAAUUUGUUCGAGGGCGACCAAAGACUAAGUGGGGGGGAAUUUGAUAAGUGCAUAAUAUACUAUAUUUUUAGUCCCUAAUAUUAGUCCAAUGGCCGCUUUAUAUUGGUUAUUUUAUGAUUUUAUUUACUUUUAUUAUUUUAGAUCUUAUUUUAUUCAUUAUUUUAUUUUAUAGUUAUUUUUAUAAUAAUUGAUACUUAAUUUUAUGUUGUGUGUUUUUGGUAGGAAAGCAAGAGGAAAAUAAAUCCUAUUUAUGUUGCUAUUCAAAGAAUCAUUUGCUAUCAUCAAAAUAUAUGAAGAAGGAAGCAAGAUACUUGCAGAAUAAAAAAAUAAAAAAUAAAUAAAGGAAAAGAAAUAGAAACAAAUGGGGCACAUGACUUCCUGAAGAAAGCAACAAGCUACAACAACAACCAGCAAACAAAGAUGAAAUUUCGUUAAAACCGAUGCUCCAAAACAACAUAUCUCAACUCCAUGUUUAUCUUCAUCAAGCUCAAAAUCCUUCUUCAACACAUCUGAAAUUCAAGGAAAGUGAUGAAUUCUUAUCCUAUUUCAAAAGUUUAUCCUCCCGAACCCAAAAAUCGGUAGCUGUUUUUGGCUAUAAAAACCCCAAAACAAUCAUCUCAAAAACACACACAACCUAGCCGAAAUAUAACAACUACAAAGUAAUUUAAGUGAGUUCGUGAAUUGGGCAAUUGGGGAAGAGAAGAUAGCCGUUGGAGGGAAUCUUAGUCUCGAAUCCAAGGUAGAACAAGAAUGACGGUGAAUUUGGGGUCGAAGCCGGGUUUAUUCGACAGUUCUUGGGAGUAUAAUUUAUAAGUGUGUGAACGCGUACGAUCCAAAAGCAAGACUUCUGCGCAUUAAAGCAUACAUAGGCUUCCUAAACAAGGCUGAACCAGAGAAACUGCUUCACAUUUUCAGUGCUGAACCAGCACUUGAAUUAGAAGAUCUGUUACCGAUUGAAUACAAGAGCAUGGCAGAACGAACAUUGAAAGAACUGGGAGCCCCGAGAACAAGAGAAGAUCCACUUUGCAUUGUCUUUUCAGAGCUAGAGAAUCCUCUAAAGCUGAAUUCAGGUUUCCUUAAUCUUCUCCCUAAAUUCUAUGGGAACGCAGGUGAGAAUCCUUAUAGACACUUAAAAGAAUUUAAGGUUGUAUGCUCUUCUAUGAAUCCUUUUUCUUUGCAAGAUCCCGCUAAAGAGUGGCUAUAUGAGCAACUUUCACCUAGUUCUAUUAAUUCUUGGGCAGAAAUGGAAAAAGUUUUUCUUGAAAGAUCUUUCCUGGUAGUCGUAUUAGUUCUAUUAGAAAGGAAAUUUGUGGAAUUAGGAAAAAUAAUAACGAAUCUUUAUAUGAGUAUUGGCAACGUUUUAACAUACUUUGUUCAUCUUGUCCACAACACCAAAUAAAUGAGCAACUACUAAUUCAAUAUUUUUAUGAGGGGUUGUUACCUAAUGAGAGAGUUAUGAUAGAUGCAUCUAGUGGGGGGCAUUAGUAGAUAAAACACCAACCGAAGCUAGGAAGUUAAUUUCUAAUAUGGCUCAAAAUACUCAACAAUUUGGCACUAGAAAUGAUGUUAAAAGAGUUAAUGAUGUGGACUUAAGUGGAAUUAAAAGUCAAUUACAAGAAAAUGCUCAACAAAUUGCUACUCUGACCACCUUAGUGUCUAAAAUUGUUCCUGGUAAUGAGUCUACAGCUAGAGUAUGUGGUGUUUGUUCAGAUUUUUCUCAUGCUAUUGAUGAAUGUCCUACUCUACAGAGUGAAGAUGUCAAUGCUUUAAAUAACUUUCCUGGUCAAUCUCAGAGGAAAUAUGACCCUUUUUCUAAUACUUAUAAUGAAGGUUGGCGUGAUCAUCCUAACCUUAGGUAUGGACCUAGACCACCAUUUUCUCAAUCUAAUCAAACUAGGCCAUUUGUUCAACAAAAUUCACAACAACAAUCUGGUUCAUCAUUAGAGGACUUAGUAAAACAAUUGACUACCCAAAUUGGACCUAUAUUAUGCACUUAUCAAUGACCCUUCCCAAGUGAUCUAACUCCUCAUUCACAACAAAAACUCUAUAGCAUUUUUUAACCAUGGGGGUCUUGAGUAACUUAGAGAACUCAAAAACAAUCUUCUCAUCGGCCACCUCACAUGUAAUGGUGUUGUUCUUGCAAUUGAUGACUUCCUUAUAGGGAUCAUCUCUAUCCAUUGCUCAAAAACUUUAUAGAUGAUGAUCCCUAUAAGGAUGACUUCACCGAACAAUCGGCCAAUUGGAUUGUCUUCCUUAUAGGGAUCAUCACUAUAAUGUUUUUGAGCAAUGGAUAGAGGAAUCAAACUAACACUUGCUCCUAGAUCAGCUAAAGCACCCCUAGCUUCCAUGUUCCCAAUCUUUACCGGCAAAGUGAAACUUCCCGGAUCUUUUUCCUUCUUGGGCAUCUUAUG